GACAUCUUAAAACAACCCACCGCUGAUGACCUUGAUGAUUUCAUCUUGACACAAUCAGAUUAUGAUUUGAUGAGAGAGGUAAACCCGAAUGAUCAAGUUGGAGGAUUUAGCGGCUGGAAUAGACACUCUAAAUUGAGAAGGCGAAUUAUCUCCAAACAAGAAAAACUCGCAACUACAUCUGAACUUUC